GCCCCAGUAGCUCAGCUGGUUAGAGCGCCUGUUUCGUAAACAGGAGGUCAGGAGUUCAAAACUCCUCUGGGGCU
rnacentral:tRNA from 1 species